rnacentral:rRNA from 1 species
UACGAAGGGGGCUAGCGUUGCUCGGAAUCACUGGGCGUAAAGCGCACGUAGGCGGACUCUUAAGUCAGGGGUGAAAUCCUGGAGCUCAACUCCAGAACUGCCUUUGAUACUGGGAGUCUUGAGUUCGGGAGAGGUGAGUGGAACUGCGAGUGUAGAGGUGAAAUUCGUAGAUAUUCGCAAGAACACCAGUGGCGAAGGCGGCUCACUGGCCCGAUACUGACGCUGAGGUGCGAAAGCGUGGGGAGCAAACAGGAUUAGAAUCUCCGUAC